rnacentral:tRNA from 3 species
GGCCCCGUGGCGCAACUGAAUAGCGCAUCAGAUUUCGGCUCUGAGGGUUGGGGGUUUGAAUCCCUCCGGGGUCACAA